rnacentral:rRNA from 1 species
UACGUAGGGUGCGAGCGUUGUCCGGAAUUAUUGGGCGUAAAGAGCUCGUAGGCGGCUUGUCGCGUCGACUGUGAAAACCCGCGGCUCAACUGCGGGCUUGCAGUCGAUACUACUUAGCUAGAGUAUGGGAGAGGGCAGUGGAAUUCCCGGUGUAGCGGUGAAAUGCGUAGAUAUCGGGAGGAACAUCAGUGGCGAAGGCGGCUGCCUGGCCCAAUACUGACACUCAGGUGCGACAGCGUGGGGAGCAAACAGG